rnacentral:snoRNA from 1 species
CGUCGGGCUGAUAACUAGGCGGUUGUUUCGAUUUUAACCCACUCUACAACGUCCGCCCUUUAAGUGUCCGAUAGAUUGAAAUAUUUCAUAUUGGCGACGAUCUUACAAGUUUCUUGUCCCAAAGCUUUUGCCUUUGGUCCCUCAGUGAUUUGCAACGUUUAAUUCAUCGCCACACCU